rnacentral:sRNA from 1 species
UCUUCCCGGACAAACUUCCAGAGCCCCUGGAGGACGGCCUGAAGGCCCCGGAGUGCACCAGCGGCAUGUACAAAGAGACCGUCUACUCCGCCUUCAAUCUGCUCAUGCACUACCCACCCCCCUCGGGAGCAGGGCAGCACCCCCAGCCGCAGCCCCCGCUGCACAAGGCCAAUCAGCCCCCCCACGGUGUCCCCCAACUCUCUCUCUACGAACAUUUCAACAGCCCACAUCCCACCCCUGCACCUGCGGACAUCAGCCAGAAGCAAGUUCACAGGCCUCUGCAGACCCCUGACCUCUCUGGCUUCUACUCCCUGACCUCAGGCAGCAUGGGGCAGCUCCCCCACACUGUGAGCUGGCCCAGCCCUCCUCUCUACCCCCUGUCCCCUUCCUGCGGAUAUAGACAGCACUUCCCUGCCCCCACUGCAGCCCCUGGCGCCCCCUACCCCAGGUUCACCCACCCAUCCUUGAUGCUAGGUUCUGGUGUACCUGGUCACCCAGCAGCCAUCCCCCACCCGGCCAUUGUGCCCCCCUCAGGGAAGCAGGAGCUGCAGCCCUUCGACCGCAACCUGAAGACACAAGCAGAGUCCAAGGCAGAGAAGGAGGCCAAGAAGCCAACCAUCAAGAAGCCCCUCAAUGCCUUCAUGCUGUACAUGAAGGAGAUGAGAGCCAAGGUCAUUGCAGAGUGCACACUUAAGGAGAGCGCUGCCAUCAACCAGAUCCUGGGCCGCAGGGUGAGACCAUGGGCAGGUGGGCUGGCAGGGAUGCUCCCCGACCAUCUUCAGCCUGGUGCAGCCUGCUGACUCCCUGAUGCACCCCACCUGCCCCCCUUCCCUGUUGCAGUGGCACGCGUUGUCGCGAGAAGAGCAGGCCAAGUACUAUGAGCUGGCCCGCAAGGAGAGGCAGCUGCACAUGCAGCUAUACCCAGGCUGGUCAGCGCGGGACAACUACGGGAAGAAGAAGAGGCGGUCGAGGGAAAAGCACCAAGAAUCCACCACAGGUGAGACCUUCUCUCAGCAGCAGUGGAGGCUCCUCUCCAUGUCCCCAUUUCAAGAACAGCCCUCCUCUGACCCAAAGGGAGGAACACGGUACCCAGCCAGGAGCCUCCAGGGCCUGGGGCCUAUGAAAACAAGGCCUGCAUCUCACAAGUCAAAUUCCCAUGCAAGAAACAGCUAUAUUAUACUAAGUCCCAGGGAAACCCAGCAGAACUGGCUUCUGCUGGGUAGAAUUGGAGUAGAUGGUGUGUUCCUCUGCCUUGCACCCACUACCUUUGCUAGCUCCACUCACCAGAGAAACCAGCAAAGAACUGACUGUAUGGUUUGAUGCUUAGCCCAAACAAUGUCCUGGCUAGUUCUGCUGAGACUGGGAGAGGCUGAGCUAGGCCCCAUGACUAGGCCCAGUAGACACACAGCCUACUGGCUGGAGCCUGGCAAUUUAUCACCCCCACUUCAACAUUUUUCAUGGCAGUGCAAAGUGCUCUAUGUAGAGAAGCCCACACCCUGCUGCAGGCCUCCUUCCUAUGGGUGAAUUCCUGCCCCUCUGGUAACUUAGACUCCACAUCCCUGACCACCUCAGCCGUGCUGUCCCCACACAGGGAAGCUGGAGGCUAGGACUGGGACAGAGCAGGGCAGAGUUCCUAGCCCUUUUUCCAAGGCAAAGAAUAGGCCCUUCCUUCCAUCUGCAAGUGUGUAGAACAGCAUAAGGUAUAGCCUUCAGCCUUAUCCCUUGAAGGAAUGUAGGUCAAGAAUGAAGAAAAACUGGAUAAAAUGGGUAGGGAGGUGGGGAGGAGGUGGGUGGCCCUAGGGCAUAAAAGGCUGGAUCUCCAUGGUCUUCCUUGGGCCCCUCUGCAGCCUCCAUGCUGCAAGGGCCCCACAAGCCACAGAGAUGAGCCAGAUUGACAGGACUCCCUCCCUCCCAUUCUUCCGACUGCCUCUACUGCGUACCUGGGUGCCCACCUUUCCUGAUAUCUUGGCUCUGGGCUCUUGGGCUCCCACUGGGGCUGGCUGUGCCAUGGAGAGGCCCACUCUGCCUAUGGGGGCUGUAGGGUGUCUAUAACUGGCUAACACUGAUGUUACCUCUUCUUUCUGGGCCCUGCUCUGCCCCGCUGCCUGCUCGCCCUCUGCCCUGCUCUACCCCUCUGGCAUGGCUGUGAGCAGACCCUGGCUCGCCUAAGAAAUGCCGUGCUCGCUUUGGCCUCAACCAGCAGACGGAUUGGUGUGGUCCGUGCAGGUGGGUUUGUCCCCACCAUCGUUCUCCCUUUGCUUUAAGCUGCUUCCCUGACUCUGCACAUGUUCCACUGGGCCUGCAGCCCACUCCUUUGGCCCCUCAGCCCACUAGCAUACUCAGCAGAUUGGGAGCCCAGGCCUCCUGAGAAUAGUAGUAAAUACUGAACACAGCGUGUGGAGAAGACCACUUGGGUCUAAGUGCAGGAGGAUUGGAGAGAAAGACACAGAAUGUUCCAGAAAGGAAGGACAGACUCAAGAAGGUAGCUCUGAUGCCAGUGGGCCUAGCAGGUCCUCAGCAAACAGACAGCUCAGCCACCACUAAGGGGGCCUGGAGCCCAUUCUACCAGGCCUCAAAGUCAUUAUGGCCCAUGGGAUCCCUGCCUGUACCAUCCUGAGCCCUUAAUCUGAAAAAGCAAGGUGACAACAACACAGAACCAUCUGGUUGCCAGGUAGCCUUAUGACUUGCUAUCUUGUACCUACUGAUACCAAAGGGCUGGAGAGGCUGGGGGAGAGGACCCAGGGGGUACCCUGGGCUGUCUGAGGGAAAGGGCUCAUGCGUUUCACCAUACAACAGAGAAAUACUUGUGGGUGUGACAAGGUUUACCCAACAAGUGGUUAAAGUUUCCUCAGUUUCAGGCCAGGCCUGGCAGGGCUAAGAUAGAGGGUACUCCAGGCAGUAAGGCCACUGGCUCUAAGGAACACUUGUCCAGCCUCUCAGUGUACCCACCACACUCCCUGUCCAAGGGCAAGGAGGAGUUUGGGGUGUGUCUGUGUAUCCACAUACAUAUGCACGGUGGGAAACAACCCUGUCUUCAGGGGAAGUUCUAUUCCAUUCAUUCCAUCAGAGACAAACUGGCCCAGAGAACUCAAGGAUGGUCAUGGACAAGAGUCACUGUCCAUGUCUUCUUCCUCUAGCCCAGCCUGAGGACUGGGAUGGCUGGGCAAGGAAGCCAUAGGCAUUGCGGCCCCUUGCCUUGGUGCAGAUGUGAGUCCCACAAACACACCUGGAGAAGCUCAAAGGCCGGGACUGGGAGAUGACUCCCUUGGAAGACAGGUGACAGCCCAUAGGCCUAGUGACAAAAGGCCCCUUUGCCACCUUGUGGCUGUUCUGGGAACUGCACCUGUCCUAGGUCUGGGCCAGACCAAGCAGAAUGGCAGUCUGAGGACACUGACUUACCACCCAAGUCCCAGGAAGAGAGGACAAGGAAUCAGCCAGGCCUGUGCAAAGGCAGCAUUUUUUGGUUGUGGUGUAUGACUAUGAAUUCACCCUCUGUUUACAGAUAACUCUCUUCACUAUUCCUAGGAGGAAAAAGAAAUGCAUUCGGUACUUACCCGGAGAAGGCCGCUGCCCCAGCCCCGUUCCUUCCGAUGACAGUGCUCUAGGCUGCCCCGGGUCCCCAGCUCCCCAGGACUCACCCUCAUACCAUCUGCUGCCCCGCUUCCCCACAGAACUGCUUACUAGCCCUGCGGAGCCGGCACCUACAUCCCCAGGUCUCUCCACUGCUCUCAGCCUCCCAACCCCAGGGCCCCCACAGGCCCCCCGCAGCACCCUGCAGAGCACACAGGUACAGCAACAGGAAUCUCAGAGACAGGUGGCCUAGCAGGCACAAGACACCUGGCCACAUCCAGGAGCCUACCCCCUGAGAGAAAGUGACAGAGACCCAGAUCUCAUGGAAACUGGCCAGGGGUCCUGUUAACGUCAUCUCAGGGUCCAGACCCUGAAGAUUUCAGAGGCUGCAGAACUUCUGCCUGAACCUGGGGUCAUCGAUUCAAACUGCUCCAAGUGGUGGGAAUCAGAUCUGUCUUGAUGUGUCAUCUAAUUAAGGGAAUCCCUUGUACCUAUGGCUGCCUGCAUCUAUUCUUUGUACCAUCUGUCUUGCCAGCCAGAAGCCUCUGCCUCCCUAGCUUUUCUGCUGUAGGUCAGAGAUGGGCUGAACUGAGCCUAGCUACCUUCUCUACCCAUCUCCCCCAUCCCCCACUGCCACACCCUCCCCAUUCAGACACUUCAUGGACCAAGAAUGAGCUGGUUUGUCAAACAACAUGUGAGCAUGGUCACAACCACAAAGCUCAAGAUGACAGCUCUUCUAAGGAAAUGGAGAAGCUCUGUUUAUAAAAACAAAAACAAAACCAGCUGCUACUCAUAAGUUGGACCAGAGGAAGCCCCUUACUAUGAUCUCAGGAGCUUGCAAGGAGCAGGAAGGGGAAUGGAAUAGGUUAAGUUUAGGCCUAUCAACCUAAGCAACAGAAAUAAUCUGACACUACCUUAUCAGGCAAAUUGGGGAGGGGAGGGUGUAUCUAGCUCUAGUUCAAAUUUGGAAGUGUUCCCUGAGAAACCCACCAGCCUAAGAAGCUCUGGCCCCAGGCUUGUCACUAGCAGCUACAGUCAAUAGUUCAAAGAAGUCAUGGCCCAAAUCCAGUGUGCACCCCUCCCCGUUCACAGAGCCUUUUUCACAAUUCCAUUUCCAGUUCAUCUAUGGCAGUCCAGCCAGCUCCUGGGCAGCUUGAGAGGGCAAACCCAAAACCUCACGACAGCCAGAGCCUGUCUUUCAGCAUUCAGUCCAGGCCGGCUCCAGUUUCCCCAUGGGGCUGCGGGACAGAGGACCAUUACAACUAGAUCAAGGAGCCCAGAAAACCUCCAGUAGUGGACAACAGGUUUUCACCAUAGCCUACGUUAACCCAUUUUUGAGCCAAGCUUCAACCCUCAGCCUUGAAAAACAAGUCUUUUUUAAUUUAAUUUUUGUUUUUUGCCUAAAUCCAAAGAAAAAGGGCUGUCGGGCCAGGCGCGGUGGCUCACGCCUGUAAUCCCAGCACUUCGGCAGGCCGAGGCAGGUGGAUCACCUGACGUCAGUAGUUUGAGACCAGCCUGGCCAACAUGGUGAAACCCUGUAUCUACUAAAAAUACAAAAAUUAGCUGGACGUGGUGGUGCGCGCAUGUAAUCCCAGCUACUCGGGAGGCUGAGGCAGGAGAAUCACUUGAACCCGGGAGGCGGAGGUUCCAGUGAGCCGAGAUGGCGCUAUUGCACUCCAGUCUGGGUAACAGGGAGACUGCAUCUCAAAAAAAAAA